rnacentral:rRNA from 1 species
UACGUAGGUGGCGAGCGUUGUCCGGAUUUAUUGGGUUUAAAGGGUGCGUAGGCGGCUUUGUAAGUCAGUGGUGAAAUACUCCAGCUUAACUGGAGGGGUGCCAUUGAUACUGCGGAGCUUGAGUACAGAUGAGGUAGGCGGAAUUGACGGUGUAGCGGUGAAAUGCAUAGAUAUCGUCAAGAACACCGAUAGCGAAGGCAGCUUACUGGGCUGUAACUGACGCUGAUGCACGAAAGUGUGGGGAGCAAACAGG